GAUGAACGCUGGCGGCGUGCCUAAUACAUGCAAGUCGAGCGAACAGACGAGGAGCUUGCUCCUCUGACGUUAGCGGCGGACGGGUGAGUAACACGUGGAUAACCUACCUAUAAGACUGGGAUAACUUCGGGAAACCGGAGCUAAUACCGGAUAAUAUAUUGAACCGCAUGGUUCAAUAGUGAAAGACGGUUUUGCUGUCACUUAUAGAUGGAUCCGCGCCGCAUUAGCUAGUUGGUAAGGUAAUGGCUUACCAAGGCAACGAUGCGUAGCCGACCUGAGAGGGUGAUCGGCCACACUGGAACUGAGACACGGUCCAGACUCCUACGGGAGGCAGCAGUAGGGAAUCUUCCGCAAUGGGCGAAAGCCUGACGGAGCAACGCCGCGUGAGUGAUGAAGGUCUUCGGAUCGUAAAACUCUGUUAUUAGGGAAGAACAAAUGUGUAAGUAACUAUGCACGUCCUGACGGUACCUAAUCAGAAAGCCACGGCUAACUACGUG
rnacentral:rRNA from 1 species